GAUGAAGAACGCAGCGAAAUGCGAUAAGUAAUGCGAAUUGCAGAAUCCGUGAGUCAUCGAAUCUUUGAACGCACAUUGCGCCCCUUGGUUAUUCCGAAGGGCAUGCCUGUUCGAGCGUCAUUUCACCACUCAAGCCUCGCUUGGUAUUGGGCAACGCGGUCCGCCGCGUGCCUCAAAUCGACCGGCUGGGUCUUCUGUCCCCUAAGCGUUGUGGAAACUAUUCGCUAAAGGGUGUUCGGGAGGCUACGCCGUAAAACAACCCCAUUUCUAAGGUUGACCUCGGAUCAGGUAGGGAUACCCGCUGAACUUAAGCAUAUCAAUAACGGAGGA
rnacentral:misc_RNA from 1 species